AAUUCGUUUGGAGAAAGGGCUUUUAAAAGGUCUUAAGUUAAAAUGUGCAUCAGGGCUCUAAUCCUAUUUGACUGGCAUCCUUGUUAGAGGGGAAGAUUAGGACACAUGAAAGACACCAGAGGUGCUCAUGCACAGAGGGACAACUUAUGUGAAGAGGCAGCAAGAGGACAGUCAUUUACUAGCCAAGGAAAGAAAUCUGAUCAUUUCCUUUUGGCCUUAGAGGAAACCAGCCCUGUUGGCACCUUGAUCUUGGACUUCCAGCCUCCAGAAUUGUAUCAUCAAUUAAUUGCUAAUUACAGGAAGGAGAAAAAAAUUAAAAAGCUGUCUAAUUGAAGAUACAACCUGAGAUAGUACAUUUGAUACAGAAGAACUAAAAGAAGUGCUAUGUGAUGUGGAAGAGCUGAAGUGGAGGAAAAAAUCCUGACAAUUCUUGACAUCAAGUCAAUGCACAUUUAAUUUCCACUAUGGUUUAGAUCAGUGGUUCUCAACUGGGGGCAAUCUCAUCCCCCAGGGAAUAUUUGGCAACGUCUAGAGAGGUUUUUGGUUGUCAGGAUUGAGGAGGAAUACUGCUAAAUAGCCCACAAUACACAGGACAGCCUCUUACUUAUCUAGUUCCAAAUGUCAACAGUGACCAGGCUUAUAAAUGCUGAUCUAGAUUCCAUAAUAUGUACUAGGGAGCAAAGAAGAAACAGAUAUUUUAUAUCUUCUGUCCUCAGUGAAGGUCACAAAUGUUUAGUAUUUCUCAACGAUGUGAGUUAAUGAGGGUCAGACUAUAUGUUCUCUACCUCUAUGUUUAGCACAGAGGGAGUGACAAAUUACCUAGAGCAGGUUAGGGAGGGUCAGGGUGAUUUCACUUGAAAGAGGAGAACUUUUUGUCUGGGUUUGAAGGACAAGUAAGAUUUUGGUGGGUCUUUCAUUCCAAACUUACUAAUCAUAAUGAAAGCUAAUUCAUCCGAGAGGCACAAGUAAAACACCCAACAAUCAGAGUGGGGAAAGAUCAUUUGUGGAACAUGACCAAGGUUAACCUUGGCGGAGAAGAAGGGAUUUGAAUCAGGUCCUGAAGGUUGGGUAGGAUUUUGACAUGGAAUAUCUAAUAAAAAACUAAAUGGGAUAGAGAAAGAGCUAUAUACAUUUUGUAACUGAAUUUGUGCUCACCACGCAUUUGGGGAAAUGCAUACUCUAAAACAGCAUGUUCUAGUGAAGGUAGUCCAACACUAUUUGAGUUGAGUUCAGUUGCCUGCUUGUUGUGAAUUCUCCCAAGUAUUUAAAAUCUUAGAAUAUUGUCAAAUUGUGAAUUACUUUUCAGUGUGCCUGGUAAUAUCUAAACGAGCACAUUUACUCUUCCUUUAGGAAUCUAAACUACAGAAAACAGUAUUUAAUACAUAUCCAACUUUAGGCGAAUAUUUAAACUUCCUCUAAGCAGCCAUAGAAAUAGACUUUUUCUCACUCAUGUGGAUAGUUUGGAGCAAUACCCUUUGCGACUGAUGUCUUCAACCUUCAAACCUCUGCCCUUUCCAUAUCUCAACCAAAAUAGGGUUAUGGCCCGAAAUUGUGCAGAUUUACGCCACUCUCUUGGAGGGAGCAAGUGGCAGUGAGCAAACUGUGGAUCCUAACACAGGUCUGUGCCAAAGAAAGAGGACACAUUUUUCUAAUUUUUAAGGGUAUUUCUAUGAGCUAGUGGUGGUCCUGUCUCAAUUCCAUCAGAAACCCUUCUGAAUUUUUCCCCUAGUUAUCUCUCUGAAACUGCAGCAUCUCCCGGAUGCUGGUGCUGCAUUGCUGUCUUCCAGAAACCCAUGGACCAUGCCUUUGCCUGGGCAACUGAUCUAGCUUGUUUUAACCCCACUUCCAUAUAAAACAAUUCCUUUCCAGUUUUGAUGGGGUUUGCCAUCUUUUUGUAUUUUUCUAGUCUUCUAUUGUUAGAGUUGCUUUCUAUGACCACUGAUUUUACUCAGAGCCC